rnacentral:rRNA from 1 species
GGGAGUAACUACGGGAAACUGUAGCUAAUACCGCGUAGUAUCGAGAGAUGAAAGUGUGGGACCUUCGGGCCACAUGCCAUAGGAUGAGCCCAAGUGGGAUUAGGUAGUUGGUGAGGUAAAGGCUCACCAAGCCGACGAUCUCUAGCUGGUCUGAGAGGAUGACCAGCCACACUGGGACUGAGACACGGCCCAG